AAAGUCGUAACAAGGUCUCCGUUGGUGAACCAGCGGAGGGAUCAUUACAGAGUUGCAAAACUCCCAACCCUUUGUGAACGAACUGAACAGUUGCUUCGGCAGCGGCUCUUUAGUGGGUCAGCCGCCGAAGGCACACAAACUCUAGCAUGUUUAGCAUCUCUGAGUACCUAUACAAUAAGUUAAAACUUUCAACAACGGAUCUCUUGGUUCUG
rnacentral:misc_RNA from 1 species